rnacentral:rRNA from 1 species
UACAGAGGUCUCGAGCGUUAGGCGGAAUCACUGGGCGUAAAGGGUGCGUAGGUGGCGUGGUAAGUCGGGUGUGAAAUUUCGGAGCUUAACUCCGAAACUGCAUUCGAUACUGCUGUGCUUGAGGACUGGAGAGGAGACUGGAAUUUACGGUGUAGCAGUGAAAUGCGUAGAGAUCGUAAGGAAGACCAGUGGCGAAGGCGGGUCUCUGGGCCGAUACUGACGCUGAGGAGCGAAAGCGUGGGGAGCAAACAGG